UAGGGAAUAUUGGACAAUGGGGGCAACCCUGAUCCAGCCAUGCCGCGUGAGUGAAGAAGGCCCUCGGGUUGUAAAGCUCUUUUGUCCGGAAAGAAAAGCAUUCGGUGAAUACCCGGAUGUUCUGACGGUACCGGAAGAAUAAGCACCGGCUAACUUCAUGCCAGCAGCCGCGGUAAUACGAAGGGUGCAAGCGUUACUCGGAAUUACUGGGCGUAAAGCGUGCGUAGGUGGUUGUUUAAGUCUGAUGUGAAAGCCCUGGGCUCAACCUGGGAAUGGCAUUGGAAACUGGGCAGCUAGAGUGCGGUAGAGGGUAGUGGAAUUCCCGGUGUAGCAGUGAAAUGCGUAGAGAUCGGGAGGAACAUCUGUGGCGAAGGCGACUGCCUGGACCAGCACUGACACUGAGGCACGAAAGCGUGGGGAGCAAACA
rnacentral:rRNA from 1 species